rnacentral:lncRNA from 1 species
UAUUUACAGAUUAGAAGGCAGAAAUUCUAAGACUGUUAACAGUUGUCAUUGCCUACCAAACUCAUGGAUUUCCAUCAGCAGUUUCUAAAAUUUAUGCUAAUAAGAUUAAUAUCCUGGAUUUAAUGAAACAGUGUCUAUAGAGAGAUCUGAGAUCUGGCAUAAGAUCUGAGAAAUAGGUCCCUGUACUUUUGGAAAUUCUAAGGAUCUCCUUUCAACACCAGUAUUUUCUGUGGUUACAGAAGCAUCUUCAGUCAGUUGUCACAAGAGUCUGACAUCUGUUUUUCUUGAAAAAUACUUUACUACUCCUGAAGGUGAUUUUAUUGUGGUGUCAAACAAAUAUCUCUGAGACCAGAUUUACCUGAAUUCUAAAAGGUUGUCAAUUUGGUUCGAGUUUUCAUCAGAGUUGGAUUAACAGCUGGAAGAAGAGUUGUCUCAUCUAAACAUUCACCAGGGGGCAAUGAGAAAAAUCUAUUAAAUUUGACAUAGGACAAUGGUACUUACUCAAUAAGACACUUUGAACAUUUGUA